GCACUACUGACGAGUCCUAAACAAGACGAAACAACUGUCUUGUGC
rnacentral:hammerhead_ribozyme from 1 species